UUGACUAUAGUAUAUGCACGUUUAUGGUGUACCCUGUUUUUGAACGUGUUUAACAUCGAAAAGCGUUUUUAACAUCGAAAAACGUAAAAGUAUGUAUUGUUUUAUAAGCGGGUGCAAAUCUUCAAGAUAUAAACGUAAACAUGCCAUCGAAAACAAACCGGUUUUGCCGUUUUACAAAUUUCCAAAAAAUCCAUUGUUAAAACAGAAGUGGGUGGAUGCUAUAUAUAAUAUGAAUCAUCAAGAAAGUGUCCUGCAAUUGCCGAAUCACGCAAGAAUUUGUAUUCAACAUUUUGAUGACACUUGCAUUGAACAAUUUGGUUCCACCCAAAUACGACUGAAACAAAAUUCUGUGCCAUCAAUAUUUCCAAAUGUAUUGAAUAGAAAAAGUUAUGAAAUAGAAUUAUCUUCGAAUGAAGAUUGCACGGAGGAAAUGGAACACGUUAUGGACUCUUCUGACAUGGUGUGCAUUGAACAAGGAAAUAUAGUUAAUAAUUCAAGUUUGGAAAUGGAAACUCCAAUGCAGGAAAAUUGCACCGAGAAUGUGGAAUCAGGUUCGUGCGACAUGAUGCAACAAGAAAGCAAUGAAGAGGUUCCUAGUUCAAGCAAUGAUGCUAAUAUUGACAUGGAAUCUGUCACUGCUUUGGUAGCGACUGCAAAUACUGAGUUGAGAUAUCCAGCUCAAAUCAGAAAAGAAAAUUUACUGCAAAUGUCACCAAGGUCGCUUAUCAAAGCUGUAUGUAUAUUGAAAGACGCUUACGACAAAAAAACACAAAUAAUCAAACGACUACACCUGCGACAAUGUCGACAAAAAAAAAAAGAAUUGAAACCCUAGAGAAGUUGUUGUCCGAAUUAUCCAAACGGAACCUUCUUUCAGAAAAUGCUUCGAAUAUGGUACAGGGUUUAACAGAAAAGUCCACUAUAGUACAAGCAAUAGAAAGUGGGAAAAUAAAAG